ensembl:lincRNA
AUGACAUUGAGCCAAGCGACAACCAUCACACUCAGCCUGCUCCUUACAAGGCUCUGCCUGGCACUCGAGGUCAAAACUGCACCUGAGGCUCCCCUUCUUGUCUGGGAAGGAGAAUCGCCGGUGCUCAGCUGCUAUGUUGCUCUGGCAGGAGAGCCGCAUUCGCCACGUGCUGUCCGGAGUGUCGGCGUUGGCCGCGACCACUUGACUGGCGACAUUCCCACAGACAGUGUGUGGUCUUCAAACAGUGGCAGGCCUUGGAGCUCAAGCAAAUUUAAAAUCCUCAAUGGACAGCCGACAUUUUUGCAAAAGCUCUUCAUGAAUUCUGUCAGAGCUAUAAUUCCUAUAAAAGAAGACCGCUCUAAUUUCCCAAUCAGAAAACGGACAGGCCAUGAUGUUCCACCAGCUCCAACUUUACAUGGAGAAAACGGUUUGGAUUUGAGGACGUUAAAUAAACUCUAUCUGGUGCAAUCUUCAACAAAGAUACAACAAUCGGUUGUCCAAAAGGCAUUGGGCCAAAAUCGCAGCACCUUUCCCGAGGAAGGGUCUGACUUCCAUUCAGGGGAAUUGAAACCACUCAUCAUUGGGGAAUCUCAGGACUCUGGGGCAGCUCAAAGGCAAAAAAGCCCUGGAAGGUCAACCCCAAAACAGCAGCACAGACUUGCGGUAUAUCAACAUGGGAUGAGCCGAUCUGCAGGUCGGGUGAGGAGGAAUGCAGCAUAUACACAAAAUGCGACAGACAGGAUAAGUUAUGAUCCAAACGAUCACCUUGAUGCUUUCAACCGAGAAAAACUCAAUUACAACUCAAAAGCGACAGAUCGAAAUGCGUUGAUGAAGAUCAUUGAUGAAGAAGAUAGUCCGAGCCACGGUAUGAAAAACGGUUCUCAAACCUCAAAUACCACUGAGGGAUAUGUGGUCCUCGAAGAUGGAUUGGGUAGUACUGUUAGAUCACAUGAUACAUUGCUUACAAGAAAUUUUAUUGCAAUUCGGGAGUUGCAAGAAGAGGGUAACAUCCCUGGGCUUGUAAAUAGAUCUCAGCUUGCAGGCAAUUUUUCGAAAGAAGAAUCGAGCAGUAAGGAUAGAGGGUCUCGGCCGGUACAAACGACUGAAAAAAUUCCAAGCGUAAUAGAAUCACCCCAAAAUACCACAAGAUCGGAAGUCUCAACUUCAAAUAGGAAUGUUCGAAAGGGUCCUACAGCUUUUAUUGUGCAAUGGUUUUUGGUGACAACCAGCGGAGAGUCCAGGGAGAUCGCUCGCAGGGAUCGAAGAGGGCAAGUGAAGGUUCUCAAGGAGUUUCGGAAGCGCUGGAAAGUUGAGUGGGACUCCAGGAGUCCUACUUUGUCAUUGAUUCUUCCACACUUACAACUUCGUGAUGGAGGGACCUUUCGGUGUGCUGCCGUGCAGGGGUCGGCAAAAAAGGGUGUCAAUGCUUCAUCCGACGUUCAUGUCAAAGUUAUACCACACCCAGCACCACCGACUACAACUCCUAUAAUCUUGACACCCCCUGAGCUCAGCACCAGUGAACCUUCUCAACAUUCCACACUGAGCCAACCUGUGCUCAAUUCCACUUCCUCCAAAGCUGUGGAGAUUGCUCCCUCACCUACACUGUCACAAGCAGAGGUAUUCUGGCUCGCUCUGGGGGUUUGCUGUCUCGGCGCACUCAGCUCACUCAUAUUCCUGCUCUACGUCGUCUGUUAUCGGCACUCACGAAAGCAUCCCCGCGCACAGCCAGGAACAAAACCCCAUCACGAUUGCAAGUGCAGGCAACUACGAAGCUGUGGAGCAAGCUGUGUGGAGCAACACUCCUUCAUUCAGACACGAACAAACAGUCUCAUGCUCAUUGGAAAUUUUCAAUAUAAAUCGCCUACUGAGAAAGAAAUGAAAGAAGGUGAAGUUCCCAGAGUUCAAGCUGACACAGAACGUGAGCGUGAUGCAAGCAAAGAAGAGAGCGCAGACUCUGGGCCGACGGAGUUGUACUACGCAGACCUGGACCUUCCUUCUGCUCACAACCCGUAUCAUCACAUUGCUACCAGCACUGUGUAUGCGCAGCUUGCAUUCACAAAACCAAGUUAGCACUCGGUGGCUUUCCAUCACCGACCCUCGCUUUCCAUGAUCGUUUCCUCAUACAUACGUCGCUGGUUGUUGAGUCAAACCACCUUUACCAUGAGCAUUUAAUUACCACAACACCCUGAUUUUAAAUAGAAAUUACUGUUCUGUAAAUUUCAUCAACUUUCACUUGUCUUAAGACCACUAGUCUGUAAGGAAUUAUUUUGUAGCUAAAAUGUCACUUUUACGCUUUCACAAUAUUUUUAUGUAUACAUUACACAGCACUGUAUAGUAGGCCUACACAGGACAGUACUGUAUAGUUACCCAGUGCUGUACAUGUACUUGGUACACAGUAUUGUAUGUUAAACAGUACUGUAUAUGUAUACAGUCUGCAGUGCUCUAUGUUAUACAGUAAAGUACAUGUAUGCAGUACUUUAUGUUGCAUAGUAAUGGAUAUGUACAUAGUAAUUUAUAUACACAGAGUGCGCAAUACUGUAUAUGUACACAGUACUGUAUAUACACAGGACUAUAUAUAUUGUUGCAGAGAUGGCUACUUGGGGUUAAGAAUGUGUGACUUGGAAAUAGUUAUUUCCUUUAUUGCAUGUAUUAGUGUAAGAGUGAGGUAAACUUAACCUUAAUAGAAUGUGCGUUGAUAUUCGUAUAGUAAGCCUGUCAUCUCUCCUCAUAAUGUUUGUGUUUAAACCGCUUAUCCCUUCAGUCCUUUUUAAUGUUUUAACCUUUACAAUCUGUUCUUUUAUGUGCUUUGGGGGAAUAGCGGCCUAGCCUAGAACCUCCGGGGUGAACCGAAGAGCAUAUAACGGCAGGGCCUCGGCUUCAUUGAGAUUGGGACUGCAAAUGAGUGCAAAGCGGGCAGGGCCAAGUGACGUCACGGGGGCAGGGCGAGAGCCAAUGGAUUAAACUGGGGAGAGGCUGAAAAUCUGUGGCUCAUCUGGUCUGGGGUUCGGUGAAAAGAUGAUGUGCCAUGGAGCUCAAGCAUGGUGGCGGAGCCAACACCUCCCACCAUCACCCCAUCCAUUCCUCGCCCGUCGAGAGCCCAGACCCCAGCAUCGUGCCGAGUUCCACUUUAGACUUGUGUGACCAGGAUGCCUGCCUGCCACUUGUGCUCGGGACACACCACAUUUGACUAGUGGUACCCAUUAUACAGGCCGUACUGUGUGUGGUCUUGUGAUAUUCUACCUGGUCCUUUCCCUGGGGAAUGUUUGAGACCUUUAAUGAUCGAAUAAUUAAGACUUUCCGACUCUAAGAAAUCCCGGGGCAUGUAUCUCUUUUAUUGUAAAUGAGUUGAUUAUAAUGAGUGCAUUACUGUUCUUUCCCCACAUUCCACACCCCCUCUCCCAUUUGAAUACACACUUUGAAUUCAAUGUGUCUCAUUAAGUUUUUUGGAUCAUGAUUGCUGGGGAAAUGGCUGUGUUGGCUUUUAUAAGCCUUCAGUUUAAAGGAUAAUUUUGACUUGAGCGAGUAACACGCCAUUGAAAUUACUCUUUCCUGGGUGCAGUGAUUUGCUCGCACUGCCAUUUUGGGUGUCCAGCAUGGAGGGAAAUCUGCUAUUGCCUGAUCGGCCAAAGACGAUCUAAUUAGAGCUAGAUAUAAUUGUAAGUAGGCCCAUGAUCCGGCUUGGAGCACAUAGACUGAUUGGCUAACGUGACAAUCAUAACAACAUAUCUAUAAUAAAAAGUGUGUGUGUGUGUGUGUGUGUGUGUGUGUGU